AGAGCGAACGCUGGCGGCAGGCCUAACACAUGCAAGUCGAGCGCCCGUAGCAAUACGGGAGCGGCAGACGGGAUAGUAACACGUGGGAACGCGCCCUUCGGUUCGGAAUAACUCAGGGAAACUUGAGCUAAUACCGAAUACGCCCUUACGGGGAAAGAUUUAUUGCCGAAGGAACGGCCCGCGUCCGAUUAGCUAGUUGGUGAGGUAAUGGCUCACCAAGGCUACGAUCGGUAGCUGGUCUGAGAGGAUGACCAGCAUCACUGGGACUGAGACACGGCCCAGACUCCUACGGGAGGCAGCAGUGGGGAAUAUGGACAAUGGGCGCAAGCCUGAUCCAGCCAUGCCGCGUGGAUGAUGAAGGCCUUAGGGUUGUAAAGUCCUUUUAACGGGGAAGAUAAUGACGGUACCCGUAGAAUAAGCCCGGCUAACUUCGUGCCAGCAGCCG
rnacentral:rRNA from 1 species